rnacentral:rRNA from 1 species
UACAGAGGUCUCGAGCGUUGUUCGGAUUCAUUGGGCGUAAAGGGUGCGUAGGCGGCGCGGUAAGUCCGGGGUGUGAAAUCUCGGGGCUUAACUCCGAAACUGCAUUCGAUACUGCCGUGCUUGAGGACUGGAGAGGAGACUGGAAUUUACGGUGUAGCGGUGAAAUGCGUAGAUAUCGUAAGGAAGACCAGUGGCGAAGGCGGGUCUCUGGACAGUUCCUGACGCUGAGGCACGAAGGUCAGGGGAGCAAACGGG